CCCAGUUCGGAUUGUAGUCUGCAACCCGACUACAUGAAGCUGGAAUCGCUAGUAAUCGCGAAUCAGCAUGUCGCGGUGAAUACGUUCCCGGGUCUUGUACACACCGCCCGUCACACCAUGGGAGUUGGAAAUGCCCGAAGUCAGUGACCCAACCGAAAGGAGGGAGCUGCCGAAGGCAGGUUCGAUAACUGGGGUGAAGUCGUAACAAGGUAUC
rnacentral:rRNA from 1 species